CAUGCCGCGUGUGUGAAGAAGGCCUUCGGGUUGUAAAGCACUUUUGUCCGGAAAGAAAACUUCUGCCCUAAUAUGGAUGGAGGAUGACGGUACCGGAAGAAUAAGCACCGGCUAACUACGUGCCAGCAGCCGCGGUAAUACGUAGGGUGCGAGCGUUAAUCGGAAUUACUGGGCGUAAAGCGUGCGCAGGCGGUCUGUUAAGACCGAUGUGAAAUCCCCGGGCUUAACCUGGGAACUGCAUUGGUGACUGGCAGGCUUUGAGUGUGGCAAAGGGAGGUAGAAUUCCACGUGUAGCAGUGAAAUGCGUAAAGAUGUGGAGAAAUACCGAUGGCAAAGGCAGCCUCCUGGGCCAACACUGACGCUCAUGCACGAAAGCGUGGGGAGCAAACAGGAUUAGAUACCCUGGUAGUCCACGCCCUAAACGAUGUCAACUAGUUGUUGGGGAUUCAUUUCCUUAGUAACGUAGCUAACGCGUGAAGUUGACCGCCUGGGGAGUACGGUCCCAAGAUUAAAACUCAAGGAAUUUGACGG
rnacentral:rRNA from 1 species